rnacentral:rRNA from 1 species
AGAGUUUGAUUAUGGCUCAGAACGAACGCUGGCGGCAUGGAUUAGGCAUGCAAGUCGAGCGAAGUAGCAAUACUUAGUGGCGCAAGGGUGAGGAACACGUGAGUGACCUGCCCGCAAGUUUGGAACAGCUCCUGGAAACGGGAAUUAAUACCGGAUGUGAUCAUAUUGCUGCAUGGUGAUAUGAUUAAAGCAGCAAUGCGCUUGCGGAUGGGCUCGCGUCCCAUUAGCUAGUUGGUGAGGUAACGGCCCACCAAGGCCAUGAUGGGUAGCUGGUCUGAGAGGACGACCAGCCACACUGGGACUGAGAACUGCCCAGACUCCUACGGGAGGCUGCAGUCGAGAAUUUUGGGCAAUGGACGAAAGUCUGAACCCCCAGCAAUGCCGCGUGCGGGAUGAAGGUCUUCGGAUUGUAAACCGCUGUUUGGAGGGACGAAAUUUGACGGUACUUCCAGAGAAAGCCACGGCUAACUACGUGCCAGCCGCUGC